GAUGAAGAACGUAGCGAAAUGCGAUAAGUAAUGUGAAUUGCAGAAUUCAGUGAAUCAUCGAAUCUUUGAACGCACCUUGCGCCUUUUGGUAUUCCGAAAGGCACACCUGUUUGAGCGUCAUGAAUACCCCAAUCUCCAUCUUUUCUUCGGAUUGAUGGGGGACUUGGAUGUUGAGCCCUGCUGGUAUGCUAUAUCAGCUGGCUUUAAACUUAUUAGCCGGCUCUGUACUGGAUCGGUUUGACUCGACGUGAUAAUAUUAUCGUUGAGGAUGCAUGUCUCAUGCAGCCGGAAAGUAUCAAAGCAGCUUCUAGCUUGCCUUUAGUGCACUUUUACAUUUUAGACCUCAGAUCAGGUGGGACUACCCGCUGAACUUAAGCAUAUCAAUAAGCGGAGGA
rnacentral:misc_RNA from 1 species